ACUCAAAGGAAUAGACGGGGGCCCGCACAAGCGGUGGAGCAUGUGGUUUAAUUCGACGCAACGCGAAGAACCUUACCCAGGCUCGAACGGUAGCUGACAUCCUACGAAAGUAGGCUCCCGCAAGGGCAGCUGUCGAGGUGCUGCAUGGCUGUCGUCAGCUCGUGUCGUGAGAUGUUGGGUUAAGUCCCGCAACGAGCGCAACCCUUGUCUUCUGUUGCCAUCGGGUUAUGCCGGGCACUCUGAAGAGACUGCCGGUGACAAACCGGAGGAAGGUGGGGAUGACGUCAAGUCAGCAUGGCCUUUAUGUCUGGGGCCACACACGUGCUACAAUGGCCGGUACAAACCGUCGCGAUCUCGCAAGAGGGAGCUAAUCGGAGAAAACCGGUCUCAGUUCGGAUUGCAGGCUGCAACUCGCCUGCAUGAAGUUGGAAUCGCUAGUAAUCGCGGAUCAGCACGCCGCGGUGAAUACGUUCCCGGGCCUUGUACACACCGCCCGU
rnacentral:rRNA from 1 species